rnacentral:tRNA from 1 species
GAUUCAGUAGCUCAGCUGGAUAGAGCAACGGCCUUCUAAGCCGUCGGUCGCAGGUUCGAAUCCUGUCCGAGUCGCCA